GUUAGUCAAAUUAAAUAAUUGUUCCCGCCCGUCGAGUUAGAAGGACAAAGUGAGUCAACCAAGAAAACUCUAAGUGAACUGCGGUCCGAAAAGAUAGGUUUUCACAACGUAAAAGCACUUAACUCUAUUACAAUCAAAAUAUCCGAAAUAUUUUGUAAGACGCAGAGCCGUUGGUGAUGUUUCUGUUGUAGCCUGUCUGCUAGCAGCAGAUAAACAACUAGUCUGCGCCUAAAUAAGCUAGCACAGACUGGCAGAGCUAGCAUCAUUAGCUGGGGACUGAAGCUAAUUCAGAGCAAGGUCAACGAAUUAACGUCAGUUGAAGAUGGACACGACAGAUUCACACUCGCAGUGUGGAUGCUGACUGAAGAGAUCGAGGUAGGCUACACCCCGAGUCUGAGAGUGGACACCUGGGGGAGACAACGGACUUUUUGCCGAAGACGUGGCUAAUGACGGAGUAUGAGUGUCUGUGUUUAUACCCAUUCCAAGUUCUUAUCCAGUGAUCCUGCAGAUCCACAUAACUGAGCGGUCUCUGGCAAGAGGAGAGCUAACUAGCGGGUGCUGGCAGCCAACCAGGAGAGCCGCUGCCUGGAGCCCAGAGCCAAUUAGAAGUCCUCCUGGGCGGAGGUUACAAAGUCAGACUGAACCCGGUGACUCAGCACACCCGAGCGAGCGUGAGUCGGGGCGGGUCGCUCCGGAGGGUGGAACUCGCCGUCCAAACCUGAGAGAGAACACGGCAAUAAAUUCUGCUGAGAAAAGAGGCAGUACAUUCUCU